UCCAGACUCCUACGGGAGGCAGCAGUGAGGAAUAUUGGUCAAUGGUCGGGAGACUGAACCAGCCAAGCCGCGUGAGGGAGGAAGGUACAGAGUAUCGUAAACCUCUUUUGUCAGGGAACAAAGGCGGGGACGUGUCCCCGGAUGAGUGUACCUGAAGAAAAAGCAUCGGCUAACUCCGUGCCAGCAGCCGCGGUAAUACGGAGGAUGCGAGCGUUAUCCGGAUUUAUUGGGUUUAAAGGGUGCGCAGGCGGUCUGUUAAGUCGGCGGUAAACGCCGGGGGCUCAACCCCGGCCUGCCGUUGAAACUGGCGGCCUCGAGUGGGCGAGAAGUAUGCGGAAUGCGUGGUGUAGCGGUGAAAUGCAUAGAUAUCACGCAGAACUCCGAUUGCGAAGGCAGCAUACCGGCGCGCAACUGACGCUCAUGCACGAAAGCGUGGGUAUCGAACAGGAUUAGAUACCCCAGUAC
rnacentral:rRNA from 1 species